rnacentral:misc_RNA from 1 species
GUGAGUCAUCGAAUCUUUGAACGCACAUUGCGCUCUCUGGUAUUCCGGAGAGCAUGCCUGUUUGAGCGUCAGUAAAAACAAACUCUCUUGAGAAUUGGAGCAGCUUUAUGCGGCGCAGUUCGACAUAGGGGUAGUGAGCGUUGCUUGGUAACAGAGCUAUCGCUUGAAAGGUAUGGCGGAAGUCGGGUUGCACUUUGGAAUGAUGUGUUUAGGUACAUCGUUUCAGAGUAAAAUGUCUCUUGACUGAUUCUAUGUCUGGUGUAAUAAAGGAAUUUCCAAUAUCAUCGCCGACAGGAAGAC